CAGUCGCCGCGGUAAAACGAAGGGUGCAAGCGUUGUUCGGAAUUACUGGGCGUAAAGCGCACGUAGGCGGCUUUGUAAGUUAGAGGUGAAAGCCCGGAGCUCAACUCUGGAAUUGCCUUUGAAACUGACGAACUGGAGUACGAGAGAGGUGAGUGGAAUUCCCAGUGUAGAGGUGAAAUUCGUAGAUAUUGGGAAGAACACCGGUGGCGAAGGCGGCUCACUGGCUCGUAACUGACGCUCAUGCACGACAGCGUGGGGAUCAAACAGGAUUAGAGACCCCUGUAGUCCCUGUCUCUUAUAC
rnacentral:rRNA from 1 species